rnacentral:misc_RNA from 1 species
GUUUAUACUGACACUGGAGAAAUAUAUAUAUGUGCGUAAUGGUUACAAUUUGGGUAAACCAAAACUCACUCUUGCUGUAAUGGCCAAUGGUUGCAAAGCAUGCUCUAAUUAGACCUCUAAAAUAUACUUAAUAUUAAUUCACAUCUAUAAUAACAUGAUAAGAUUUUGAUGCUCAUCUCAUCUGUUCAACAAACUCUAAGCAAAUGAUCAGAACUCACAUCUCCGGACUCCCCGGUUGUACUGCUCUCCGACUCCAAUUGUGGUGCCCCAUUAAUCGACACAGUGCUAGAGCUGCCACUGGUUUCCAAGUUAUUUCUAAUCAAAUUUGGCUUAAGUUUUUGAGGUGUGGUUGCAGCUAUCACAACUUCAGCUGGGAAAUUCAGGAGGGCCUUAGAGCCACGCAUACUAAAAGCCGCCCUAUCAUAAGCCAAAGCAGCCUCCUCCGCCGUCUCGAACGUACCUAGCCAUACACGAGCACCAUGUCGUGUGGAGUCGCGAAUUUCAGCUGCGUAUUUGCCCCAGGGACGACGCCUCACUCCCCUGUAGUGCUUCUUGGCUAUGGUCUUCGCCGGUUGGAACAUGUUUGAUGCGUUAAUCUGGUUUAUUCUUUGUGGCAUAUGUGAACUAUUGGGUGGUGUGGCUUCGUUUAUCAUUUGGUAUAUGACCAUGUCUUGUGAGUCAUUCUCAUUAAAUGGAAGCUCAUUUUGAGAGGUUAGAACCAUGUGUUUUCGAUUCUCCAUGGCCUGGAGGAAGACUAAAGAAUGAAGCUUGUGGAAAAUGGAUUCAAGAUUUGGAUAGAAACUUUGGAAUAUAUGAGAGAGGCUGAUGAGGAUUCUUGGAAUUUUAUUUGUAGGAACCAAGGAAGGUGGAAGGAAAGUGAU